rnacentral:misc_RNA from 1 species
UAACCCUCAUCCAUGCGAUUUAACGAUUGCAUGAAUGGAUUUGGACGUUGCCGUAGUUGGCUCGUCUUGAAAUGCAUUAGCUUUGCGCCCAUUAGCGUGCUCGGUGUGAUAAUUAUCAUUCGCCUUAGGCCGCUUCCAGUGACGCUGCUUCUAAUGGUCCUCUGAGGACAAUAAAUCUAAAG